GAUGAACGCUGGCGGCGUGCCUAACACAUGCAAGUCGAGCGAACAGACGAGGAUCUUGCUGCUCUGACGUGAGCGACGGACGGGUGAGUAACACGUGGAUAACCUACCUAUAAGACUGGGAUAACGUCGAGAAACCGGAGCAAAGACCGGGUAAUAUAUUUAACCGCAGGGGUCUAUAGAGAUUGACCGGUUUGGUGUCACUUAUAGAUGUAUCCGCGGGUCAUUAGCUAGUUGGUAAGGUAACGGCUUACCAAGGCACCGAUGCGUAGCCGAAGUGUGAGGGUGAUGGCGCACACUGGAAGUGAGAGACGGUACUGAGUCUUACGGGCGGCACCAGUAGGGAAUCGUGGGAACUGGGCGGAAGCCUGACGGAGCAGUGCAGGGUGGGUGAUGAAAGUCUUCGGAUCGUAAGACUGUGUUAUUAGGGAAGAACAAAUGUGUAAGUAACUAUGCACGGCUUGACGGUACCUAGUAAAAAAGCAACGGCUAACUACGUG
rnacentral:rRNA from 1 species